AAAAAUAAUAAAAAAUUUUUAAUUGGCCUAAUUCAAUCGUCACAAAUUACUCUUAAACUGGGCGUUUAACAGCCCGAUCCUAUAAAUGUCUAAUCAAAAGUAAAUCUCACCGAGUUCAAUGGGGCUUACUCCCAGGAAAGUGGGUACACCGGCCUGCAGCCUAAAGGUGGCAAGCAACUUCUGACAAUACCUCGCUUGCCUUUUUGUUUCUUAUCGCACCACUUGGAGGUUGCGCCCUAAGUACACACUUUACUCGGAACUAAGCCCCGUCAAUGGCCCUUGCUCUCUGGGGUAAACAUGCAGCGGCGCGGGCUGGAAAUUGGUCAAAGCGGGAAGGGAACCAGGGGAAAGUGACUCGGCUUUGCAAAAUUAAGAGCCUCGCCUGACGUUUGGCGUCGUCGGCGUCCUCACGGGGAGCUCCGCUGCACGAACUAACCGGCAGCACUGCCGGCUCUCUGGGGAGGGGGCUCUGCAGGGCUGCUGCGACAGCCCAUGCCUCCACGCCGCGCCGAGAGAGGGGCACUAUUUUCGCGCCUCCGCCCCACGGCCUGCUCCCUUGGCGGGGGCCAACAUGGCUGACCCCUAAGUACGCCUCUGCCUCCUUCACACGACCUAUGGGACGGUGCUUUGUUCCCUCUACAAGCCGAGCAGCAGCAAAUAGACAAAAUAUUAUCAAUAAAUUUAUUUCAAAUAGGGGAAAAAAAGUUAUAAAACAGUUAAAUCAGAUUACAGCCACAGGAGUAGGAAGGGCCCUGUGAAAAUAAUAAUUUAAAAAACCGCUCCAAAAGACGGUCUCUCCCAUGCUGCCUCUUGUUUGCAUGGGGUUUCCUGCUCUUCAGACCCAUUGCCUUUCAUAAACUCUGUUUACCCAUGUGCACAAGUGUUUAUGCCUGGGCCUGACACAGUCCUUUCCAGCAGAACAAGGAGGGUCACCCCUCCCUCUCUCCUGAAGUUGCCAACCUCCCCACCCCUUCCCAGAGUUCCUUAAUUUUUUAAAAUAGGUACAACAGGUAGAGAUUCAGCAGCUGCAGUUCCCCCUCCCCCAGAUUGCAGGGAGAACUUCUCCCGAUUUUGUAUUGCAGCGGAGCAUUCAGCACCCUUCUAAGUGGGCAAAGAUGGACUUAUAUUCUUUCCCCCACCUGUUUGAUAGCACCCCCUUUCCUAAUAAACUUUUUUUUUUCCAGCUGAGGGCCACUUGUCCUCAUAAGCAACCUUCUGGGGGACGCAUGGCAGUGAUGGGCAGGGCCAGGGGCCCUCACCUUUGUACCACAGGGGUGCUGCAAACCCCAGAGGUUUCUACGCACAUGUGGACAUCUGUACUCCAGCCAGGUAAGCAAGAGUUCAGGGACUCAUUCCAGCCAGGUAAAAGCAUCUUAAGAAAGGUGCAGAGCCAGGCCUGUGAAGGGCAUGGCCUGGGGAGAAUUUUGAGGGCCACAUAGACAGGUCUGGAGGGCCUCAUGUGAAGAGCCUGACCCUUGCUCUGCCUACAGGCCCAAACACCCUUUACACACAUGGCUUCGUGGACACAUGCAGCCUACCAGAGAAUAUAUCAUCUCACACGCACACAUUGACAGGGCCCUUCUGUACUAUUGCAGCAUUGCUUGAUUUCCUUUGCAUGGUCUGGCAAAGUUAAGCAGCUUUAAAAAAUAAUAAUAAUAAAUGCCCCUUUGUUUUCAGAUGGAGUGAAUAGAGUCAAGCAGGCAGCUUCCCCCAAAGAAUCCUGGGAAAUGUAGUUCCCCCACAGGGCUACAAUUCCCAGCACCCCAUAACAAACUACAGCUCCCAGGAUUCUUUUGAGGAAAAACAUACUUUACAUGCAUCCACCCGCAGAGCAGCCCACCCUUCUGCCUGUCAUUUCCUGUCCAAGAGGGGCUAAGCCCAGGGCAGUAAUUGAUACAGACAUACCACAGGCAGCCUCCUCAAUGAGUUUGGCUUUUCAGUUACUUAAUAUAUAUGAUAUUCUUCAUGGCACUCUAACAUACCCCAGCCCCUCUACCACUCUGAGACUGAGGUCACAUCCACACCAAUAAGCAAAUUGUUUGGGAGGUGUCCUCAGAGGCAAAACAAGAAUAAGAGAAUUUUUCACACCUUGGCAGCCCUGCCGCCCCAGCCACAAAACCAACAGCAGACAUAUCUGAUCUGGGUUAUUGAUGGCUACCGGUAUUUAUUUUUACACACACACACACACACACACACACACACACACACACUUACAGUUUGUUCUCCUACCCAGUCCAGCCACACCAAGAAAAUGUCCUCUGCUCAUCUCGUUACAUGCUGACUCGUCCUUUUCUCUCACUGCAGGAAAAGGGAUAGAGUGAGCUCGUAAAGGGGAAAGAGAUGUCUGUAUGUAAGUUAUACUCAGAGCAGACACACUGAAAUCAAUGCACACUAGGUCCAUGAACUUAGUGAACACAGGUCCAUUUGUUUCAACUUAUGCUAUUCUGUUCAGCAGAAUUAACAUACAGUUUAAUCACCAACACCUCUAAGUGGUUUACAUCAUUUCAGUUGGCCUUCUCUUGGUUUUAUACAGUUCUAUAUAUCUGUGUUUUACUUCUUUUGAUUCUUAAAAUCAUUUAAGAAACAUAUAUUUAAAUGGAGAUGAGACCUGGCUCAGUGGUACAGCAUGCAGAAGGUCCCAGGCUUGAUCCUUCAACAGCAUAUCCAUGUAGGAAUGCGAAUGUCUUCUCUUUGAAACCCUGCCAGUCAGUGUAGACAUUACUGAGCUAAGAAGACCAAUGGUCUGACUUAGUAUUUCUGUAUUCCUGGUAUGUGAAACACUUACCAGCCGAAUUUUGGGAAGGUACGUAAAGAUUUUUUUAAAACAUUCAUUUUAUAGUGUAUAUAAAACAGAGAGAGAACAGUUACAACAACAGGUGAAAAUUAAUUAUCAUUAUUUUUGAAAAAAACUAAACAAUAGGCACGUUGAAUGGGUUAAAAUAACAGAAUCCAAUUUGAUUUCAGCAGAUGAGACUAGGCUUGCAAACCUACCUAUGAGUAAGCCCCACUAAACCCAGCAGGGAUUACUUCUGUUUUAGGCCUUCCAAUUUUGGAAAUUAGUUGCUGGCGGACCACCAGCCUGGCUUGAGGUACAGAAAGGUGUAGAUUGCUCCCUCCAACACACACACACUCACACACUAACAGACACACAAACACACACACACACACACACACACACACACAGAGAGCAAAAGAAAUAACUAUGUUUUAUCUCCCUGUAGCACAAGAGGACUCCUUUUAUGCUAGACCAAGAAUUUUCAAAAAGUAUGUAACUUUAAUUUUUUUUCCUUUUUGUAAAUAACUUUGGUGCACAAAUGUAUAUGAAUUAUUUAUUGGUGAACCCAGAGGGUGUAUUUGUGUAAGUGAGUCUCGUAAGUCUCUAUAUCUGUAGGAUUCUCUUUUCCGGACUUUGUAAUGAGGAAGAAGAAAAGGAGGAUUCUUGCUUUAGAAGAGAUCAGGGGGAGGGGAAAGCUUCCUCUCUUGCUUUCGCUCUCUUUCCCUCUCCCUCUCUCUUUUUUUAAAUGUGGAAAUAAACUUCUUUACAAACAGAUUGAGUCAUUUCCUAGCCUUCUUCACCCACCCCACUUCGCUACAGAGACAUCAAAACAUGCUGGAAAGCAAUGAGAGAGAAGAAGCAAGAGGAAGUCCCUAAAAUUCUCGCUGGAGGGAAAAGUAAUUCUGGUUACGUGGAUAAGGAAUCAGUUUAAUGUCUCUACCCUGAUUUUCAGCCCAGAAGGAUGCUUUUGGUGGCUUAAGAACUGGAUCUGGCAAAUGGCCCAUCUAGUCCAGCAUCCUGUUCUCACAGUGGCUAACUAGAUGCCUGUGGGAAACCUGAAAGCAGGACCCAAGCACAAGAGCCCUCUCCCCUCGUGUGGAUUCCAGCAACUGGUAUUCAGAAGCAUUGCUGACUCGUGGUUAGUAGCCCUUUAUAGCCCUCUCCCCCAUGACUUUGCCUAAUCCUCUUUUAAAGCCAUCUAGGUUGGUGGCCAUCACUGCUUCCAGCAGGAGGAAGUUCCGUCGUUGAACUAUGUGCUGUGUGUAUCUGAUCUUAGCCUAUCAACAUUUUACAUUUGUGUAAAAUAAAAGUAAACCAAAGCAGCUCAGGUAAGCCUUCCGAUAUGUUGCUGGUUUCCAUCAAAUAGUGACCCAUCAACUUGCAGGCAAGUAUGCAGAAGAAAUUCGAUCCUGGUUUUAUUUACAGGUGGAACUUAGCUAAUUCGCUGUUUCUGAAAUGCCGUCUUUGACGGCUUUAGAAGAGGAUUAGACAAAUUCAUGGAGGAGAAGCCUAUCCAUGGACUACCAGCCAUGUGGCUAUGCUCUGUUCUCAAAGAAAACCCAAACAAACUGAAAGCAUGAACAUUGCAGUCAAACCAUUUGCCGCGGUAAAGGGUGGCAGUGCUUAGCUGUGGCAAAAGCCUUUGAUAGUGGUUAUCCUGGGGUUAUGUAGAUUCAGUACCAGGAUGCGCAUGCUAUCCAGCAGCGGCUGGUGCGCUCUGGGAGUAGGAGCACAGAAGGCAAGGAGUCCAUGAGUAGGCAGAGCCAUGUCAACAAGGGGCAACACUGAGGUGAAGGGAUAAGAAGCGGACAGGCAGGACUACUCCUUGGACUGGAUAUAAGUAAGGAAGGAAAGGGCAGGCUGGAGAAGGAUGGAGAAGAAAAAUUAGUUGGCUCUGCCUGUUGGCCACCCUGCCUUCCGCAUGAUCAUUCUGAAUAGGCACCAGCCACCAUGGCCCGGCUCUUCACAUCUGAACAUGUGCCUCCCUACAGAAAGCAGCUUAGGCCAGACCAGUGACUCAUGCAGAACUGCGAGAGAGGCUCUCCUCUGUGGGUGGUACUUGGGGCUCAUGUUAUUCUACAAGGGACAAUACUAAGGCGGAGGAAGCUGGCAGCCGGAGCCGCCACCACCCUUGGAAUGAUUGCAAGUAAAAAGCAGGCAGGGAGUGGCUGAGAACGGGCUGACAGUUAGUAGGGCACGUGGACUAGCCUCCACCGGUGGGGCUUAUUUUUGUUGUUUCUCUGCCCUCUGUACCUUCUGAAAGCAGAGUCGGAGAGCUGGAGAGGGUCAGGGAGGCGGGGACCUUGCCAGCGACAGUGAAUUAUUAACGCUCAUCUUGCAAACAGAUAAUGGCCUUAAAUGAUCGCUUUAGUGAAAAAACAAAAAAGAGUGCCUUCCACCCUCCAGCAAUAAUGAAAAGGGGAAAGGGGAGGAACAAGAGAAGGAAAGGACUUAAGUUGCUCAUCUGCCUUUGGCCUGCAUCUCCCCCAGCAGCUGGUCACCGGGACAAGCCUGGGAGCUGCUCUCUGUCUUGGGAAGCUGACAGAUGGGUUGCGAGGCUUAGCUCUUUACACAGAACCAGGCCUCCUCUGCCAGACCAACGUCACCCACCCCCCUUUGCACACACAAACACACACACAGAUCUCCUCCCCAACCUGCAGGCUAGACUGCAAAAAAUAUAUGCAUGCAGGUCAGACACUCAAGCGGAGGGACAACAAAUGGCGAUAAAUGAAAGAGCUAUGCAGAGUUCCUCAGCAGGGAGGAGAGAAGGAGGGCCCUAGGGUUGAAAAUGGACAGGCAUAGAAAUGAUCUAAGGAGCUGCAGAAAAUGUUUGCUUCGCUAGGGAUGGGAGAAUUUGCCAAUUUUGUUUUUUUCUUUCCAUUUCUUGUCUUACUGUCCACUGUCCAUUUUUUUAAACUUCUCAUGAAAACUUCCUCAGUCUUUACCAUGAGUGUCCACUUGUUAGGGUUUCAGUCUUGUUUUUAAUGUAUCAGUUGUUUUAGUUGAACUGUUCUUAGUCAUCUUAUAUGUAAAUCUCCUGGAGGCAGUGGUUUAGAAGGCAGUGAAUAAUCUGUGAUGUUGAUGAUAAUAUUCAUCAACAUUUUAGUGUGAAUUUCCUAAUAGACUCAUCUUUGUAGGCAGUUUUGCCUAACAUAUACAUUUAUUUGCAAGCCAUAUCCCCCAGUGUGAUACAUUUGUGUAUGCCAUUUUCAUUAUUAUAUGCAUUUUUAUGCACACUUUGCCCCAGUACUUGCAUUUCUGUAUCUGUAGGCUGGAAAAUUGUGAUGCAAAAUGUGAACGCCAUGAUACCACUUUAAGCAGUCAUGACUUCCCCAAAUAAUUCUGAGAGCUGUGGUUUCAUAAAGGUGCUGAGAGUUGUUAAAAGAGACCCCUGCAUUCCCCUCACAGAGCUAUGAUUCCCAGAGUGUAUUAGCAGUCAAUUUGUCUUCAUGGGGAAUUCUGGAAAUUGUAGCUUUGAGGGGUAAUGGGCGGGGAAGUUGUUCCUGAGAACUCUCAGCACCCUUAACAAACUACAACUCCCAUAAUUUUUUUUUGAGGGGGGAAGACUUGACUACUUAAAGUGGCAUCAUAGUGCUUUACAUGUAUGGUGUGAAUGUGGUCUCUGUCUUCACUCUUACUCAGGGCUAGGAAGUCUGCAGCCCUUCAGAUGUUGCAGGACUCCAGCACCCAUCCUGGAGCAACUCUCCUAUGAGGAAAGGCUGCAGUAUUUUUGACUUUUUCAUUGGAAAAAAGGCAAGUAAGAAGCGACGCAGUAGAAAUUUAUAAAAUUAUGCACAGAUUGGAGACAGUGGAUGCAUCUCCCCCAUCCUUCUUUCAUAACACUAGAUCCUUGCAGAAAUCCAAUGAAGCUGAAUGUUUGAAGAUUCAGGACAGAUAAAAGGCCUUCACACAGUGUGUAGUUAAACUAUGGAACUCUCUCCCAUAGGAGACAGUUAUAGCCACCACCUAUGAUGUCUUUCAUCAUAGGAAUGCGGGUGGCGCUGUGGUCUAAACCACUGAGCCCUGGGCUUGCCGAUUGGAAGGUUGGCGGUUCAAAUCCCCACGAUGGGGUGAAUCCCUGCUCCUGCCAACCUAGCAGUUCGAAAGCACGUCAAAGUGCAAGUAGAUAAAUAGGUACUGCUCCGGCGGGAAGGUAAACGGCAUUUCUGUGCGCUGUUCUGGUUUGCCAGAAGCGGCUUAGUCAUGCUGGCCACAUGACCCGGAACCCCAGAGUCGUUCGCGACUGGACUUAACUGUCAGGAGUCCUUUACCUUUUUUUAAAAUGAUGUCUUUAAAAGAGGAUUGGACAAAUUCAUGGAGAUAAAUGCUAUCAGUUGCUAAUAGGCAGACCCAGAUGAAAUCAACUCGAGGUGCCGGGCUGGAAGAUCUUGAGAGGCCCAAACUGAAUAGCAUCUGAUCAUGAGAAACAAAACCUCGUUCUCUUCUUUAUCAACUCAAUGAAAGUAGAACAUUGCUGAAAUUUUAGCACUGAUUAAGAGAUUGUUUAUAAAUUUAUGGAAUUACCAGUAAUGAAGACAUCCACACAGAACCUUCAUAAGGGAAAUUAUAGCAAAGUUACAACAUUGCACUAUAUACAAGGUCAGAACAGUUUCUUUCAAGGUCUUUUGGGUGCAAACUUAAUUAUAUCAUUAAAAUCAGUAAGUCACAGUUUAUCAUUUUAUAUGCAGAGAAUGCUUAGAUCACACAAUCAGUCUUGGGACAUUGUUGAGCGUAGAUCAUUCUGUAUCCUUUUUAGUCUAUAAAAUGAUGUUUCGCCAGUACAGUUUGUAACCAUUAAACACAGGAACAAUCUGAAAAUUGUUUCCACAUUUGGAAAAGCUGUCUGAAUUUUUCCUGGAAUGUUACUUGAUACAUAUCUUGGUGGGUGAAAUUUUCUUUUUCAGGGUGAGCUGGUUUGACAUACAGGUAGAAGUGCAAGAAUUCAUUGACUAGACUAAGGUCAACAUCCUUUGGAUACUUUGCACCAAAAUCACAAUGCCAUUGUGAAUAUGUUCCUUGGUUGCUUGAAGGUUCACCACAAAAGAAAAAUUGCCAGCUCCUAUACACUGUUGCCCUUCUGUUUAGGUUGGCUUUAAGAGUGUCCAUGACAGGUAUAAAUGAAUUUACCCUUAACUCUUUGAGAAAGUUUGUUUAAGGUUUCAGGUGCUGUCCCAUCAUCCCCCCCCCCCGGUACCUUCUUUUGACAGUUUUGUCCUCUACCUCUGGUAGAGUAAAUUUUUCUUGCUGUUCAGUUUCAUCAAACUUAGCCUGGUUGUUUGAUACAAACUAUAAUAGUGAGCUGUAAAUAUUUACACAUGUGCUCAAUAAAAUUUGCAAGCUUGGGAGUGCCUUGCUAACUUUAGCAAAACUGUCCAAAGGUGGAGCAUAAACAUGAAUUCAAAUCCUUCCAUUUUCUGCAGAAGAUUUACAGCUUGUUGUCUAGUAUCUCCUUUUUUGGUUUCACCACAGUAAAUAUGACUGAGGAAUUCAACAAUGUAAGUAUAAUAGCUGCAGUAGCUUUGCCAUGAGCCUCUCUUAUUGUGUCGGAUAAAUGUUUAGGAACUUUUGACCCAAAAGCAAGAAUUCUUUUAGCACUGCCCAUUUUUCUGAAGUAGCUGAGAAAAAACAAUAAAGUUAAUCUAUUGUGGUAAAAAAUCACUGCAACCAGGCAUGAGUAAACUGCAGUUCAGCCAAAGAGAUUUAGGGAAUGUCCAGUGAAUGGAAUAAUCUUUGCAAACUUGUUCCUUUCCAGCAUUUUGGUUGAAUGCCGUUAUAGUUUUCAGCCAUAUUGGCUGCAUUGUCAUAUGACUGUCCUCUACAUUUGCUGAAAUCUAUUUCAAGUUCAGAAUCAGCUCAGCCAUACUUUCACUGGUGUGAUCUUUCAGUUCAAAAAGACUCAGAAAGCAUUGAGCUGGUAAUCCAUUGUGGGGAGAAACAGAUCUAACAAUGACAGUAAGCUGAUAAACAUGGGAAACAUCAGGGGUUGAAUUGACUGAUAAACUAAAAUAACCUGCCUAUCUGAAGUCACUCGGUAUUGCUUCUUGAACUGUAUUAGCCAUCACCUGGAUAACCUCGUCGCAUAUGGCUUUGGAUAAGUAAGGGUGACCAAAGCCUUUACCUCCAUACCGAUUUAUGUGAGCACACAUGAAGGGAUCAAAUCUGGCAAUUAAUUCAAGCAAUUCCAGAAAGUUACCAUUAUUUGGUGAACUGAAUUCCUGAAUUUUAUUUCCCCUAAAUGCCAAGCCACAUUCUGCCAAAAGAGAAAUCAGUGCAAUAACUCACUGAAGUACGUGCCUCCAGUAAUCCUGCUCGUUUUGAUGUGAGCAUGUGAUCAUGCUUCCUUGUUAAGCAUGUUAGCAUAGGGGUAAUAUGAUUUUUAGAGUUUUUGUGGGUUCAAACAACAUAAGUGUGAUGCUAAUAAUCAAAGUCAUUAGAAGAUAAAGCUGUAGUUCAGGUAGUUAGGUUAGAGAAAAAUUUGCACACAAAACAGUAGACUUUUCCUGUUGUGGGAGAAUACAUUAGCCAUUCCUGAGGGUAGGUUUUUCAAUUUACUUUUGGUGGAAUAGAAUCAAUCCAGAAUAUUUUCUCGUUAUUCAACAUGGUCCAUAAACCUACAUCAUUAUUGUCUCUGAAAUAACUAGUUAGUAAUUUUGUGUCUGCGGUGUUGGGGUUUUCGCUGAGAUCAUUUGCUUUGUUUCCCAAUUCUUUAAGAUUGCAUUAAGCUUGAACUGCUUCUUUUGGUGUAACUAUCUUGUGGCGUGUUCCUUCUGUGCCUUCAGUGGCGGACCAUGGGGUCUCAAAUUUCAGAGGUGCCCUGUGCAACACCAAGAUUUGGUACUCCCCACUCAUCUCGCUCUAUUCUACACCAUAAUUGCAGCAUCUCUUGUGAUGCGAUGCCCUCAAGGCUCUGCGUCCAGUGUGACCAAACCAGUUGCACUCCCCUAAAUCUGCCUCUGGUACCUUGUGUUAGUCUUUGUAGGUCCAGUCACUUCAUUGCCACUUUCCUUAGAAUUUUCUGUACUUGUGGCUGUAGUCACUGAAAACAGUUCUCAAAGUUCUUGGGAGGCUGCGCUCUGUAUAUAAACUGGUUGUUCUGCUCAAACUGCUUAGCGUCGUCUACUUGAUUUUCUUCUAUUUGUAAACACGGACGUUCUGUAUCUGAGGGAUUAUGUAGGGCUGUUUUUGCCGGCUGUACAAAGCGGUAUGACGUGAUUGGCUUUAAAUGUUGGGAGUACUUCCUUCUCUUCUUUUCGUCGCUUUCAUUUACUAGUACCACUUUCAUAUUGCUUGCUCAUUAUUAUUUUCACAAAAAGGUGAUUCACAGUGAUAUAAAAGCAUCCUCACUUGUUCUUAAAACACACACUGUAAUGAUAGACAGUGAUGUGAACACUUGCAUUGCUUCGUAGUGGACGAUAUUAUUUGAUUCUGAGUAGCUUUAAAGCCUCCACGAAUUUACUAAACAAUAAGUAUUCACUUGUCAUAGACUCGUGUGUCACAUGUUUAACGUUACUAAGGAACUGGGCCUAGAUUGUAAAAUUUGCCUGUUUAUUUAGAAUGGGGGGGGGGGGCAAGAGGCCGAGGCCCUCCUAGAUUAUGAGGCCCUGGGAUGCAGCCUCCUCAGUCUGUAUGUAAAUGUAGCCAGUACUAUUUUUCUAGAAAAAAAGGUGCUGGAACUCACUAUGAACGCCUCCCUAAGUCUCUUAGAAUGGCAGUGGCACCAACCUGAGAGGUGCCAGAACCCACCUGAGAGCAGAUCCUCCAAGUGUCCCUAUUUUCCAGGGAUGUUCCUGAUUUUGAGAAGCUGUCCAGGUUUCUGAUUUGAUCCCAGAAUGUCCCACUUUUCCUUAGGACCUCCCUAUUUUCAUUGAAGAAAUGUUGGAGGGUAUGGAGUUAUCCGGCCUCCGAGCCAUCUGAAGGCAAUCCUGUAUAGGGAAGUUUUUAAAAAUGUUUCAUGUUUUAUGAUGUUUUUAUAUAUAUAUUGGAAGCUGCCUAGAGUGGCUGGGGCAACCCAGUAAGAUGUGUGGGGUAUAUAUAGUAGAAUGAUCAUUAUGGAAUGGGACAAGGACAUUGGAUAAAUGUUGGAGGGUAUGCCUAGGAGGUGCCGGAACCGAGUUCCUGUGAGUUCCCCCUGAAAAAAAAGGCCCUGAAUGUAGUACUGCUACUAGCCAUGAUGGCUGCACCCCUGUGGCAGCAUCCCUUGGAAUACCAGUUGCUGGAAACUGCAGGAAGGGAGAGUUCUCCUGUGCUCCAGUCCUGCUAGUGAGUUUCCCACUGAAGCAUUUGGUUGGCCAUGGUGAGAACAAGACGCUGGACUAGAUGGGCCCCCUUUGGCCUGAUCUUACAGGAUUCCAGCACAUUCUGGAGGUUGCCCACCCCUCUUGUUACUGGUUGAAAGUAAUACCUCAGCUCCACCACUGUCCCUUUUGGUCAGAGCCAUUCACCCUUGGGAAACAUCAGAAGAGGCUAAACUGUGGCCCUCCGGAUGUUGCUAUGUGACAACUCCAAUAACCCCUGACAGAUGGAGGUGCUGUUUCGUCAGUCUGCCUCAGGGACUAGGGCCUGGCCUGCUGUGGAAAGGGUUGUACUCCCCUUGAGCCUUGUGGUGGCAAGGAGUACAUUUACGCCAGGGCAUUUCGUGUACCAACCAUCACAUCUCUUGAGUCAGUCUGAUUUAGCACUAGUUACCCAUGCCUUCACUGCAUUGCUGUUCAGAUUACUGCAAACUGAGUUACGUGGAGCUACCUUAGAAGACUGCCCGGACAGUGCAGCGCUUCAAACGAUGCAAAAAUGUAAUGGCCAAGCAAUUGUUCCCCAGGCUCAGGAGAAGAUGUUUAAAGCCCUAAGCGGCUUAGUUCCUCUGGGGCUGCAUACCUCAUUAUGAACCUGCCCCCUUAUUAAGAGCUGCAGGAGAGACCCUUAUGAAGAUAUGACUGCCAGCAGAGGCCCACUUGACAGGCAUGUGGGGGAGAGCUUUUUCCUCCAUCACCCCCACAUGAAGGAAUGCAAUCACACCCACCCACAUCACUAUUGUUAGGAAAGGUAUCAAGGCACAGUUAAAACAAAAAACCAAGCAGUUUUCUAUAGACUCGAGAUUUUAAUGUAAAGAGUCCCCCCCCUACAAAAAGAGCAGAUUUUGGCUAACAUUCCCAAUGUAACAUGGUCAUGGUCUAAUUUUAAUCAAUUGUUUUUCUUUUUGUUAAAACCAUGUAUAGCCAUUCAAGCAGACCGAGAGUUGACUGCUUUUGAACAACUUGUGGUCAAUAUUCCUGCUACAGAGAACAAUCAGAGAAAAAUCUUUGUUGACAUUUAUUAAGGACUGGAAACUUCUUAUGGACUUUUUGCGUGAAAGAGAAAAUGAACUUGUAAUAUCUGGAUUUGAAGAUUGAGAAAAUGUUGGCUUAUAGAAAAUAGAAUAGUUGGAUGUCAAUUUCAGUGAAUACUUUGAACUAGUUGCUACAUUUAGCUGCCAAGAGAAUCAGAAGUCUUUUAAUCUUUUUCUAUUUUUCCCUUUUAAAAUUUUCUUUUUAUUUCUUUUUUCCUUCUCCCUUCUCUUUGCUCCUAUUUUUUUUAAGAUUAGAUUUUAAAAAUAUUUAUUUUAUUCUGGUAUAUAACAAAAAGAUGCUUUGUAUUGGGUAUAAACUUUUGCACAUCUUUUGAUGAGUAUCGAUUAAAAUAAAAUGUGUGGAGAAAAAAUUGUUCCUGCUACAUCAGUGAGUGAAGUACCAACCAUAUAAAAAAUAUUAACUUAGGUAGAAUUUGGCCAUCUUAUGACCACAAAAAUUCUCUGGGAAAUGGACCUUGAAGUAAUAAUCUCUAAUGAAAAAUGGAAAACACUUUGAGUUGGGGGGCAGAGGAUGUUUUAAAACUGUUUCGGCCCAAUUAAUGGAAUUGUCUUUGAAAUGCAUACAUAGGUGAUAUAUUUUCUGCUUGCAAAUAUCCCACAAGAUACCAGGGGCAACAUCAACCUGUUGGAAGGGAUGUGGGGAGACUGGAUCUUACAUUCAUAUGGAUGGUUUUGCAAAUCUGUUUACCCAUUUUGGGUUUUGAUAUUUAAAAAAAUGAGUUUAAUAUUCAAAGUGGACCUACAACCUUACCCUCUAACUUGCUUUACUUUGAAUAAAGGACAUAUCUACUCCACCAACUGCUCAUGAAGAACUUUUAAUGUUCCUCCUCACAGUGGAAAACAUGGAAAUAGCCAUGCUCUUGGGCCUGAAAACUGAAGUGUGAUACUCCAUAGCAUGGGCAAUAGCCUUGGCUGAAAAGCUGAUGAGCCAGAUUUGUGCUACCAAAGGGAAUUCUAACCAACAGCUUUUCUAUAUUGUGUGGCAACCAUUUUUGGAUGAUAUGGGUUAAGAAGACUGAGUUCUCAUGGUAAUAUAUGGAAAGAUUUCUUGGAGUGAUUUGUAAUAAUUUUAUUUGAUAUUUUUAAGCAACGUGGUUGAUGUGUUUUGACUUACGUUUUAUGUGUGAUGUGAAGAAUGAAAAUGAAUAAACAUUAUUUUAAAAACCU